AUGUGAUAGAGGGUGGUAGAAUGUCAGGUGUACGGUGAAAUGCGUAGAGAUCGUGAAGGAAUACCGAUGCGAAGGCAUCCACCUGGGUCAAAGACUGACGGCUCAUGUACGGAAAGCGUGGGGAGCAAACAGGAUUAGAUACCCUGGUAGUCCACGCCGUAAACGAUGUCUACUAGAAGCUCGGAACCUCGGUUCUGUUUGUNAAAGUAA
rnacentral:rRNA from 1 species